rnacentral:other from 1 species
UGUUAGCUGGAUUGUGCGAGAUGAGUAUUUAAUUUCUUGAACUAUACUUUUUAAUAUAAGGGAUAAUAUUUAAUCGCAGUGGUGUGCUAUUUUGAUUUUUAUCUUAAGAAGCCUAAAUUGUGUUAUGAAUCCCGCCUUAGAACUCUUGUUCAAGGCUCGAUACUCUUAACGGCUAUUUUGGUUAACAU